rnacentral:rRNA from 1 species
GACGAACGCUGGCGGCGUGCCUAAUACAUGCAAGUCGAGCGCAGGAAAUCGACGGAACCCUUCGGGGGGAAGUCGACGGAAUGAGCGGCGGACGGGUGAGUAACACGUAAAGAACCUGCCCUCAGGUCUGGGAUAACCACGAGAAAUCGGGGCUAAUACCGGAUGGGUCAUCGGACCGCAUGGUCCGAGGAUGAAAGGCGCUCCGGCGUCGCCCGGGGAUGGCUUUGCGGUGCAUUAGCUAGUUGGUGGGGUAAUGGCCCACCAAGGCGACGAUGCAUAGCCGACCUGGGAGGGUGAUCGGCCACACUGGGACUGAGACACGGCCCAGACUCCUACGGGAGGCAGCAGUAGGGAAUCUUCCACAAUGGACGAAAGUCUGAUGGAGCAACGCCGCGUGAACGAUGAAGGCCUUCGGGUCGUAAAGUUCUGUUGUAAGGGAAGAACAAGUGCCGCAGGCAAUGGCGGCACCUUGACGGUACCUUGCGAGAAAGCCCCGGCUAACUUCGUGCCAGCCGCCGCCGUAAAAC